rnacentral:lncRNA from 1 species
CAAACCUCUGUUUCACUUUCUUUACAAAGCCAGUAAUUGCAGAGAGGAUCUGGAGGAGCUGGAGCCACUUGAGAUGAGUGAUUUUCUUGAAGGAAAUCCAGCUGAGGUGUGAAGAAUCCUAACGCUGUGAGCAGGACCAGCACUGUGCUGUCACCAGCAUGAGUUGUGGGAUGU